UGAGAAGAUUCCCUGGAGGAGGGCAUGGCAAUCCACUCCAGUAUUCUUGCCUGGAGAAUACCCAUAGACAGAGGAGCCUGGCAGGCUACUAUCGAUGGGGUCACAAAGAGUUGGCUCAACACAGCAUAUUUAAAUAUACGUGUGUUGUAUAGCUAAACUGGAAGAUAAAGCAGGAGAAACUUGGCUUCAAGAAGACAGUCAUCUCUGGUGAAAGAGUGUAAGGCAUCUGGAAAAGAAAUUAAUCCCAACCCGCCUGUUCCUACAACAGAAGCAGACAGGACUUCAGCCCUAGACCUGGAGAAAGGAGGACAGGGCAACCAAGCGAAAAGCAAAGGAGAAAAGGAAAAAUAUAAGCAUCUGAAUGCAGAGUUCCAAAGAAUAGCAAGAAGAGAUAAGAAAGCCUUCCUCAGUGAUCAAUGCAAAGAAAUAGAGGAAAACAACAGAAUGGAAAAAACUAGAGAUCUCUUCAAGAAAAUUAGAGAUACCAAAGGAACAUUUCCUGCAAAGAUGGGCUCAAUAAAGGACAGAAAUGGUAUGGACCUAACAGAAGCAGAAGAUAUUAAGAAGAGGUGGCAAGAAUACACAGAAGAACUGUACAAAAAGAUCUUCACGACCCAGAUAAUCACGAUGGUGUGAUCACUGAACUAGAGCCAGACAUCCUGGAAUGUGAAGUCAAGUGGGCCUUAGAAAGCAUCACUACGAACAAAGCUAGCGGAGGUGAUGGAAUUCCAGUGGAGCUAUUUCAAAUCCUGAAAGAUGAUGCUGUGAAAGUGCUGCACUCAAUAUGCCAGCAAAUUUGGAAAACUCAGCAGUGGCCACAGGACUGGAAAAGGUCAGUUUUCAUUCCAAUCCCAAAGAAAGGCAAUGCCAAAGAAUGCUCAAACUACCCCACAAUUGUACUCAUCUCACACACUAGUAAAGUAAUGCUCAAAAUUCUCUAAGCCAGGCUUCAGCAAUAUGUGAACCGUGAACUUCCUGAUGUUCAAGCUGGUUUUAGAAAAGGCAGAGGAACCAGAGAUCAAAUUGCCA
ensembl:lncRNA